AGUGUAGGCGGUUCGGUAAGUCAGAGGUGAAAAGCUCACGCUUAACGUGAUGCACUGCCUUUGAUACUGUCGGACUUGAGUGCUAGAGAGGAUGACGGAAUUCCAGGUGUAGCGGUGGAAUGCGUAGAUAUCUGGAAGAACACCAGUUGCGAAGGCGGUCAUCUGGCUAGACACUGACGCUGAGGCUCGAAAGCUGGGGGAGCAAACAGGAUUAGAUACCCUGGUAGUCC
rnacentral:rRNA from 1 species